rnacentral:rRNA from 1 species
GAUCAUGAUAACUAGUCGAAUCGACAGGCCUUGUGCCGGCGAUGGCUCAUUCAAAUUUCUUCCCUAUCAACUUUCGAUGUUUGGGUCUUGUCCAAACAUGGUGGCAACGGGUAACGGAGGGUUAGGGCUCGACCCCGGAGAAGGAGCCUGAGAAACGGCUACUACAUCCAAGGAAGGCAGCAGGCGCGCAAAUUACCCAAUCCCGACACGGGGAGGUAGUGACAAUAAAUACUGAUACAGGGCUCUUUUGGGUCUUGUAAUCGGAAUGAGUACAAUUUAAAUCCCUUAACGAGGAACAAUUGGAGGGCAAGUCUGGUGCCAGCAGCCGCGGUAAUUCCAGCUCCAAUAGCGUAUAUUAAAGUUGUUGUGGUUAAAAAGCUCGUAGUUGAACCUUGGGCCUGGCUGGCCGGUCCGCCUCACCGCGUGCACUGGUCCGGCCGGGCCUUUCCCUCUGCGGAACCCCAUGCCCUUCACUGGGUGUGGCGGGGAACCAGGACUUUUA